UUACAUUUCCUUGGUGGUUAGUGGAAGAAAAUAUUUGCUUUUAGGGCAAAGUUCACCCUAUCAUAAAAUUGUCAUGUAGAAUAGGCAAUAGAAACAUAUUCCUUGACUAUCAAGGGAUCUCAGGAAGAUUGGGUGGGAUGUAGAUAUUUAAAAAUAAGUGAAGUGAACUUCCCCAGUAAAUUGGAAUCACAGGGCCUUUAUGUAGUCACAGUGGUAGAGAGCUGAUGACCAGAAAUAUGUUAAUUUAGAAUAAUUUAUCUGGGUUACACUGCAGGUUUCUGUCCAAGGUGCUCUGAAAUUCUCAAAGCUACAUUUUUCACUGCUUAGUUUCUAGAAACGUUAUGAAGAGAAGGAUAGUCUUAGAAAAAAACAAGCCACAAUGUUCCUUGAAGACCCCACAAAGUGAGUUAAAGAAGAAGACCUUUCCUGGAGGACAGUCACUGACAGAGAAAUCAAAUCAGAUUGUUCCAAGGGCUGCAAUCACAUAAGCAAGUUAUUCUUCAAUAAGUAAGAAAGAAUUAGGAGCCAGAGUGAAGGUGGCACAGAAAACAAGAACAACAUUUAAUAGCUUUCCCAGCUGAUUGCAACAUACUUUCUUUCAAAGAAAAUCACUGUGUUAAAGCACUAAGAGAAAGGAAAAAAAUAUUGUUGCUGGAUUUGUCUUUUUCUUUUUCCCGGUAUUGAAGAAAAUGAGAAGAGAAAUCUGUUUCAUGUCUCUUUCUGUGCUUUUCAUACAACUUAACUAGAUUAUUAGAAAUGUUCAGUAAUAAUCUGUAGAUGAAAGGAAUGUUAACUCUUGAGUCUUUAUUAUGAUUUAGGCUUGAAGUCAUUUGAAAAUUGUAUGUGGAACAUGAUCUAUUACAUCUUAUGGCAAAUAGGAGCUCAUAUAUUUAGGCUACAGCUAAAGAGUAACAUCUGCCUAUGUAUUGAAGAACUAAUUGCUAGCAAAGGAGAAAUGAAUAUGUUUGUGACUUUGUAUGGUAAACUCGGCAAUAAAGAGAAUAAGGUCCUGAUGUGGAAAA